ACAUCAGUGGCAGACGGGUGAGUAACACGUAGGUAACCUGCCCUCGAGACGGGGAUAACGGGUGGAAACGGUCGCUAAGACCCGAUAUAGUCUGACCUUCGUGAGGAGGUGAGAGGAAAGGCUUCGGUGCUCGGGGAGGGGCCUGCGGCCCAUCAGCUAGUUGGAGAGGUAACGGUUCCCCAAUGCAAUGACGGGUACGGGGUGUGAGAGCAUGGCCCCCCACACUGGGACUGAGACACGGCCCAGACUCCUACGGGAGGCAGCAGCCGGGAAUAUUGCGCAAGGGACGGAAGUCUGACGCAGCGACGCCGCGUGGAUGACGAAGGCCUUCGGGUUGUAAAAUCCUUUACCGGGCGAUGAGGAAGGACACUAGCCUGGGAAUAAGCGUCGGUUAACUAUGUGCCAGGAGCCGCGGUAAGACUUAGGACGCUAGCGUUAUCCGGAUUUACUGGGCUUAAAGCGCCUGCAUGCGGUCAGGUAAGUCGGUUGUGACAGCCCCGUGCUCAACGCCGGGGAGCCCAAAGCGAUACUGCUUGACUUGAGGCCGUAAGAGGGGAGUGGAAUUCCCGGUGUACCGGUAAUAUGCGCAGAUAUCGGGAGGAACACCAGUGGCGAAGACGGCUCCCUGGACCGCGCCUGACGCUCAGAGGCGAAAGCUAGGGGAGCGAACAGGAUUAGAGACCCUGGUAGUCCUAGCCCUAAACGCUGGAUGCUAGGUGUAGGGCUGAUGAGGCUCUGUGCCGGAGCGAACGCGAUAAGCAUCCCGCCUGGGAACUACGGCCGCAAGGCUAAAACUCAAACGAAUUGACGGGGACCCGCACAAGCAGCGGAGCGUGUGGUUUAAUUCGAUGCUACACGAAGAACCUUACCUGGGUUUGACAUGUUGGUGGUACCGAACCGAAAGGGGAGGGACCCUUCGGGGAGCCAACACAGGUGCUGCAUGGCUGUCGUCAGCUCGUGCCGUGAGUUGUCGGGUUAACUCCCGUAACGAGCGCAACCCUUGCUCGUAGUUAUACGUGUCUAAGGGGACUGCCGGCGACAAGCCGGAGGAAGCUGGGGAUGACGUCAAGUCAGCAUGGCCUUGAUAUCCAGGGCUACACACACGCUACAAUGGCCGGUACAAAGGGCAGCCAAGCCGCGAGGUGGAGCGAAUCCCAGCAAAGCCGGUCACAGUUCGGAUUGCAGGCUGCAACCCGCCUGCAUGAAGUUGGAGUUGCUAGUAACCGCGUGUCAGCCAUACUGCGGUGAAUACGUACCCGGGUCUUGUACACACCGCCCGUCA
rnacentral:rRNA from 1 species